UAUUGCUUCUAGGUUGAGGUUCUUAUGCAUAUGUGCGUGUUUGUUUGAGUUCACAUUAUGAACAUCUUAGUCUUAUAAUUCUCUUACUGUUUUUUUAUCUUUUCAGGAUGACACUGCAUUUGAAAAGCAGAGUGCUCUUUUUGCUCUUGCUGUUUCUGACAUAGUACUCAUAAAUAUGUGGUGUCAUGAUAUAGGGCGUGAACAGGCUGCAAAUAAACCCCUCUUAAAAACAGUAUUUCAGGUUAUGAUGAGAUUAUUCAGUCCUCGUAGGACAACUUUGAUGUUUAUUAUUCGUGAUAAAACCAGGGUAUGUUUUUCUU